rnacentral:rRNA from 1 species
UACGUAGGCAGCAAGCGUUGUUCGGAGUUACUGGGCGUAAAGGGCGCGUAGGCGGCCCUGGCAGUCGGUGGUGAAAGCCCGUGGCUCAACUGCGGGUCGACCACCGAUACUCCAGGGCUCGAGUUUGGUAGAGGCAGAUGGAAUUCCACGUGUAGCAGUGAAAAUGCGUAGAGAUGUGGAGGAAUACCGAUGGCGAAGGCAGCCUCCUGGGCCAACACUGACGCUCAUGCACGAAAGCGUGGGGAGCAAACAGGA